GACGAACGCUGGCGGCGUGCUUAACACAUGCAAGUCGAACGGAAAGGCCCUGCUUUUGUGGGGUGCUCGAGUGGCGAACGGGUGAGUAACACGUGAGUAACCUGCCCUUGACUUUGGGAUGACUUCAGGAAACUGGGGCUAAUACCGGAUAGGAGCUCCUGCUGCAUGGUGGGGGUUGGAAAGUUUCGGCGGUUGGGGAUGGACUCGCGGCUUAUCAGCUUGUUGGUGGGGUAGUGGCUUACCAAGGCUUUGACGGGUAGCCGGCCUGAGAGGGUGACCGGCCACAUUGGGACUGAGAUACGGCCCAGACUCCUACGGGAGGCAGCAGUGGGGAAUAUUGCACAAUGGGCGGAAGCCUGAUGCAGCAACGCCGCGUGCGGGAUGACGGCCUUCGGGUUGUAAACCGCUUUCGCCUGUGACGAAGCGUGAGUGACGGCAAUGGGUAAAGAAGCACCGGCUAACUACGUG
rnacentral:rRNA from 1 species